rnacentral:rRNA from 1 species
GACGAACCGUGCAAACGUUGUUCGGAAUCACUGGGCUUAAAGGGCGCGUAGGCGGGCCAGCCAGUCUGUGGUGAAAGCCUCCAGCUUAACUGGAGAAGUGCCGUGGAUACUGCUGGCCUCGAGGAGGAUAGGGGCAUCUGGAACGGUCGGUGGAGCGGUGAAAUGCGUUGAUAUCGACCGGAACUCCGGUGGCGAAGGCGAGGUGCUGGGUCCUUCUGACGCUGAUGCGCGAAAGCCAGGGGAGCAAAGCGGG